rnacentral:rRNA from 1 species
UACGGGGGGGGCAAGCGUUGUUCGGAAUUACUGGGCGUAAAGGGCGCGUAGGCGGCCCCUUUUGUCGGGUGUGAAAGCCCCGGGCUCAACCUGGGAGGUGCGCGCGAAACGGGGGGGCUUGAGUUCGGGAGAGGAGAGUGGAAUUCCCAGUGUAGAGGUGAAAUUCGUAGAUAUUGGGAAGAACACCGGUGGCGAAGGCGGCUCUCUGGACCGAGACUGACGCUGAGGCGCGAAAGCGUGGGGAGCAAACAGG